CGGGGCCCCAUGACGGGAAGGGGGGCGGUUGCUCCCGGGGUUCGCGGGCUCAGCAGCGUUGCUAGGGAGACGGUCAGAACCGGACCCUCCCCGGCCGCCCCGCGCCAGUAGUCGCUAAAGGCUGCGCAUGCGCGGCGCCGGCCCAGAGCCGGCGGGAGACUCCAUUUCCCAGCAGGCCCCGCGCGCCGCCGAGCGGCAGCUUCCGGGCAGGCGCAGCUCGCGCUGAGGAGAGGGGGCGUUUCCCCGCCCCAGCCCUGCGCGCGCGGCAGAGCCGGGCCCGGGGACCGACAGCGGGCUACAGAAUAACGUCCAUGUUUUUCUCUGGAUCGUCCCACCCUUCCAGAGGAAAGGCAAUGGCUGCAGCGGAGUUAGCUGAGGGGCAACUUUAUUGUUGACUUCCAGUCUUCUGGAGUUUCCGCAGUGUUGCAAGAGCUCUUGAAAAACAGCAUUAAUGGUCCAGAGAGCUCCUCAACCUCCUCAGCCUGCUUUUUUAAAACUCCUGAAUGGAAGAUAUCUGGAACUGCUGAUUUCAAAAAUGUCUGACGUGUUUGUUUAUAUAUAAUUUUAUGGGGGGGAGAUAUUGGGAUUGCCGCCAGGAGGCUGUCCCUGACCCUGCCGGGGACUCCAUUUCCUGUAUCAGCUUCUGGUUAGUAGGUGUGUGAUGAAUAUGAUGACCCCUGUCCCCACUGGGCAGCGUGAGGGGCUCUCUUUU